UCGGAGCGGCGGCGCUGGGAGCAGAACCGGCGGCACUGGGACGAGAACCGGCGCUACUGGGAGCAGUUCCGAGCCCCCCGGGGCGCCCCCCGAGCCCCCCAACCGGCGCCUGCUGGGGGCUGCUGCUGCUGCUGAUGGCGCUGGGGGGGCUGGCACACGGGCUGGCCUACAGGUACGUGGCCGGGGCUCACACCGCCUUCCUGGACGAGCAGGACCGGAAGCUGCGCGUGGCCUACGAGAGAGCGCGGAGCCGGGCGGGGUCGCACGAGGAGCUCCUGAAGCGGCUGCGGGAGCGGAGGCGGGGCCGGCCGGGGGGAGGGGAAGG